AUGGACAGGUACUACAUGUUUUGGUACCGACAGGGGCCACGUGGCUCUCUUGAGUGGAUUUACCGGGAGGGUGAUGCCUAUGGAACAGGUUUCCAGGAUCGCUUUAAGGGAUCAGUGGAAAGCUCCAAGAACAGAUGCACCCUGCAGAUUCUGUCGGCAAGGCAUGAGGAUGAAGCAGUGCUUAGCAGUGUGAGGAGCGAUAAGCUCACAUUUGGAAAGGGGACCACUCUUACAGUUGAACCAAACAAACAAAAAAGUUCUGUCCCAGAACUAAUUGUGAUGAAAUCAAAGAAACUGGAAAAAGAUGGCAGCAUUCAGAAAGCGGCUUGCUUGGCAAGAAACGUCUAUACAAAGAGCAUCAGCUUGGAGAUGUCCUCCAGUGAGGUCAUAUAUGAACUGAGUACAUCCAUUCUGACAUCAGACGGGUUGUACAAUGCUGUUAAGGUGGUCCAAGUGAAAAACGACGCAGAGGUAACCUGCAUGGCCAAAUUCAGCAGCAGCACUUUUAUAGCCAACACAACAUCGCCAGAACAGGAGGCUGAAGAACCAGUAACGGGGAAUAUUUGCAAUACCACAGACAUCUCUGCACAAGAUCCGAAAGUGGAGAAAGCGAACAUGCUGUCUAUGGCUGUCUUGGGUUUGAGAGUUCUGCUGGCUAAAAGUAUCGCCUUCAAUACACUUAUGAGUAUCAAGUUGUUUCUCUUCUGA